ensembl:miRNA
CAGAUGGCUCCGAAGUUUGCAUCCUAUUAGGUUGGUGCAAAAGUAAUUGCGGAUUUUGCCAUUAAAAGUAAUGGCAAAAACAGCAAUUAUUUUUGUACCAGCCUAGUAUCUUUUCUCCUUCUACCAAACUUUGUCCCUGAGCCAUCUCA